CAUCACUGAAUUGUCGGGGCCGCUGCUCACCGACUCCCCCGUUCCACUCACACCGCUACCCCCCGGCUGCUCCGUCAGGUCCAGACUAACGACCCCUAACGUCUCGCACCCCUGGAAAGUUUAUGCAAUUUACGAAAUGCCCUGGAACAAUAGUGUGCGGCAGUGUCUGUUUGCCUAAUAGAUGCACAUCAAUUGGCUAAUGGGCUUGAAUUGAUUUGUGGGCAAGAUUCCAUCAUCAAAAGAAAUAAAUCUCAACACAAUAGUAUUCCUGUGAGUGUGUAGAGUCGUAACAUAGAUGUUCAUAAAUGUUAGUUUCCUCAAUAGAUUCAUUGGUACAGUAAGGCAAUUAAUGAAACGAAUGACCAAUAUACUUCUAAACGACCGUAUUCAUGCAGCUCAAUGGACCCAAGAAUGUUUUUCACGAUCAGCUAUUAGUUAACGCACCACAUUGGGAUUGCCAUUUUCGAAACACAAGGAGAACUUUGGAGUAAUCUUAUUAGUCCCGAUAUGUGCGUUAUGUGUGUGUGGGUGUAUUUUCUUCUUAAGCAGACGUCAAGGCGCCUUGGCGUCUGGUUGUUCCGAAAAUGCCUUGGUUCCCUGCUGGGCAAUGAGUCGUGUGUGUGGGCGUGUCAUACACAUGGCGCUCUCUAUCUCUUGGCGGCAACUGCAGGCCUCUCUGCUGCUGGAUGACCGCUGAGUCGGCAUGACGCUCGUCCCUGACGGUGCCCGAUUGUGCUCGAAGCUCGUCUGCUGUUCGCCAGCUCCGACACACUUCCUCUCAAAGAAACCUGUAACAAUGCGUCACGGCCGGAACUGAUGACGUCACCACUGGGAGUGCUAUAAGAACGCACGCUCGCACUUGGCACUCACACACGGACUUUGACAACACAAGCGGCAAGAUGCUGAUGCUACUGCUGCUGCUGUUGCAGUUCUGCAUCAAAUUUGUCCGGUUCCUCUUCUCCCUCUUCGUGGGCAACAUAUGCAAAGCUUCACAUCUCAUCCCCAAGCCACCAUGCCCGAACCCUGGCACGGAUUCACUGGCAUGGACUUUGGUAUUGCUCAUGAUUGGGUUGAUGGUCAUGACGGUUUUCAUUCAGGUCAUGAAGCGGCGUCAUUGGAAACAUGCAGAACGAGAAUCUGGGGCGGAGAAGAUCGAAGCUGCACGAGGAAAACACGACGCUACGUGCAGGGAUGGAGGUGACUCGUCAGGAGUUCGUGGCGAUGCAAGCGGAGACGAUGCUACAAGAGCGAGCGAUGUGGCAACAUGAGAUGCUGCGUCAAGGAAAUGAGAGGCUGCAUUUGGAGAACGUGACGCUGCUUCGAAAGAAGGAGACCCUCCUUCAGGAGAUUGAGACGCUUCGUCUUGCCACUGCCGCCGCCACCGCCGUUACCAACGCCACCCCCGCCAACACCGACACCAAUGCCAAGGAAAUCACCGCCACCGCCACUGCCACCAGCACCGCUAUCAAUGCCACCAACAGUACCGCCAUGGCCAAGAAGAAAAAAUCCAAAUUUUCUUGGUUCAAAAAACAUUUUCAUUAAUUUAUGAUGAGGGCAAUUUUGGGAAUAAUUUAGUUUUUAAAUUACCCAUUUAAAAAGUCACACACACUUACACACAAAAACAUCGACAACCUUCAGCAUAAAAUACCCAUACAGGUGCUUUGUUUUCGUGGGGCCGUGUGAUGGUUGAGGCCCCACCACUGAGUGAAACUCUUCAGGUUCAUCCGACUGGGCAUUUGCUCUCAUUACGAGACACAGAGAGAUACGGAUAUAGACAUGGAGACAGUCAAGGAGACACACGGACACGGAGAUGAAGACAAAGGUCUCCCUAUAGCCUUGUUGUAUAUAUUGUUUUGAAAAAUAAUAAUAAUAAAAAAUACAUUCUAAAAUUGUAAUUUUAUCAAAAUAAAAUAGUUAUUGAAGUAUGCAAAUAUAUUCAAAUUAUAUAAAUUAGGCUCGGCUUCGUUGUCUCGGGUGUAUUACCAAUACAAUGAUUUUCGCUUUAACUUUUACUGAUAAUGUUUUAGUGUUAUUACGUCCGGUCUCAGAAUUCAGAGCUCGCCACAGGAUACAGUUCUUAUAAUUAAGAUAAUUACGCAUGAACUGAGGAAGGAACCACUCAGACUCUUCUGUGUUAAGAAACUUUAAUAUCUAAAAACACUCUAAUUUCCGAACACACUUAAUGAUCGAAAUUGCCACCACAGUACUCCUGUAUAUGUCCUACUCAUCGAUCAAUACAAUUAACCCUCAAUGGUUGCGUUGUUUAAACUGAGCAAUAGAACAAUAGGCUAACUCCUCACAGUAGCACGUCAAUACACGACGAUAGAAAAAGUCCUUAAAAAUGACGGAACCGUGCUCAAGAAACAUGUGGCCAAUGGCAAAAGUGGACAUCAAUGAAUUAAUUUGAAAGAUUAAGCAAUUAACAGAAUGUCUCUAAACAAUAGUGUAUGUUCGGCUGUGUAGGUUUGCCUAACAGAUGCUUAUCAAUUGGCUAAUGGCACAUCAAUUAAUUCGCCGGCAAUAUUCUGUGAUCAAAAUAAAUAUCUCAAAACAAUGGUAUUCAUGUGAGUGUGUAGAUUCAUAACAUAGAUUAUUAUAAAUGUUUAGUGUGUCAUCAACGAAGUCAUUGGUAAGGUUACGCGAUGAAGGAAACGAAUGACUGAAAUAAUUUGAAAUGACCCUAUUCAUGCAACUCAAGCGACAGAACAAUGUUUGCACGAUCAGCUAAUAGUUAACACACCACCUUGAGAUGGAAACCCUUUUAGAAACUUGGA